rnacentral:rRNA from 1 species
GACGAACGCUGGCGGCGUGCUUAACACAUGCAAGUCGAACGGUGAAGCUCCAACCUUCUUGAGUGGAUCAUUGGCGAACGGGUGAGUAACACGUGAGCAACCUGCCCCUGACACUGGAAUAAGCGCUGGAAACGGCGGCUCAUAUUGGAGACGAUAAGGUUCAGCAUAGGCACUUUCUGUAAAGGUCGUCGGUUGGGGAUGGGCUCGCGGCCUAUCAGCUUGUUGGUGAGGUAAUGGCGGCCGAAGGCGACGACGGGUAGCCGGCCUGGGAGGGCGACCGGCGACCAUGGGACUGCGAGAGGGACCAGAAGCGUACGGGCGGCAGCAGUGGGAAACAUUGCGGAGCGGCGGAGCGCCUGUGGCGGCGGCGUCGGGUGCGUGAUGCCGGCUUUCGGGUUGUGAACCUCUUUCAGCAGGGAAGAAGCGAACGUGACGGUACCUGCAGAAGAAGCCCCGGCUAACUACGUG